AGUUUACCUAGGCUUGAGUCCCUGCUCCAUGAUAGGUAUGUAGCUGAGGGCGCAUAGCUGUUGAUACUGUGUUUUAAUCUCUAAGAAAUUAUUCCUACAGUUCACAUCAG
rnacentral:lncRNA from 1 species